rnacentral:rRNA from 1 species
UACGUAGGGCGCAAGCGUUAUCCGGAAUUAUUGGGCGUAAAGAGCUCGUAGGCGGUUUGUCGCGUCUGCCGUGAAAGUCCGGGGCUCAACUCCGGAUCUGCGGUGGGUACGGGCAGACUAGAGUGAUGUAGGGGAGACUGGAAUUCCUGGUGUAGCGGUGAAAUGCGCAGAUAUCAGUAGGAACACCGAUGGCGAAGGCAGGUCUCUGGGCAUUAACUGACGCUGAGGAGCGAAAGCGUGGGGAGCAAACAGG